rnacentral:lncRNA from 1 species
CCCGAACCUGCCCAUUGCCAUCCGUAGCCACAAAUUUGGCGCUCAUAACUUGUAUAUGAGAAAAAAACAUUCAGCAUGCAUUCAAUCGGAAAGUAGAAACAAAAUAAUCUAAGGAAGAAAAAUAACGAUGGUUAUCAAUAUGCAUAAGAAAAAGAAACAACAGUACAUAUACCUUUUUUGAAUGAUCAAUAAGAGCAGAUAAAAUCUGCCCUGAAGGUCUAUCAAAGGCUACAACAUUUGAAUAAACUCCAGCAGUGGCAAUGAUGUCCUUAACAACAAAUCAUACAAAAAUAGGUCAAUGAAUAAAAUAUGUCCUAUACUCUGUUUAUAUGGGUGAUUUGAUCCAUCCAAAGCACACCAUGAGUACCCAAAAACAAAGGAUCAGGGUACCACCACUACAAUUUUAUUUCUCUAAGAAGCACCUGUUAAAAAAUUAAUUUGUAAUCUAUCCUCAAAGAGUUCAAAUCCAAAUUGAACACUUCAACCAACAAAGGUUUCAUUCAUUGAAUGAUCAAAUGGAUAAGAUUUUGAAUUCAAGUUGUAUACUCAACUUCAAUGUUCAAGCUUGCAAGUUGGCAUCUGAAAAUUAAACAUCAGACAGUAGUCAUCUGAUCAGUCAAACAGAGCUGCAAAUACAUAUUUUCCAGCUGCACAUGAUGAAGAAAAAACAGCUUUUAUCUUGUUGUAAUUGUAGUAAAUUCUUAGGACUAGUUUACUCAAUGUUCACUAUAAAUAGGAAGGUAUCCAUCUAGUGUUAUGUAUGUAGAAGAAGUGAGAAAAUUUUCUCAAAAAAAUUAGAGAAAAAGUGUGUUGUAGCAACUCCUUGGUAAUUCCCCAAAUUUCAUUAGAAAAUUUUCAUAUUUCUCUUAUCUAUUCCUUCUACACCCAACAAAUUUUGGUAUCAGAGCUUAGGCAAAAUACAUAAAUCAAAUCCUACCAAAAGUUGAAACAAAAUCAGCCCCAAAAACCACCAUAGCGGCAGCUAUGGCAACAAAUUCAGCAGCCUCCUUGGUCACUUAUUCACCAAGUCAAGUACCAAUCUUUAAAGGUGAGCACUAUGAAUAUUGUAGUCAAAUGAAAACUUUCUUCAUCUCUUUAGAUUUAUGAGAUGUUGUUGAAGAUGAUGAGGUGGUA